rnacentral:rRNA from 1 species
CAGUAGCCGCGGUAAUACGAAGGGGGCUAGCGUUGUUCGGAAUUACUGGGCGUAAAGCGCGCGUAGGCGGUUACUCAAGUCAGAGGUGGAAGCCCGGGGCUCAACCCCGGAACUGCCUUUGAAACUAGGUGACUAGAAUCUUGGAGAGGUCAGUGGAAUUCCGAGUGUAGAGGUGAAAUUCGUAGAUAUUCGGAGGAACACCAGUGGCGAAGGCGGCUCACUGGUCCAUUACUGACGCUGAGGUGCGAAAGCGUGGGGAGCAAACAGGAUUAGAUACCCGGGUAGUCCCUGUCUCUUAUAC